UAAUAAUGUUAUUUACAAAAAAAAACAUUCUGAAUGAAAUAAGAAACCUAUCCAUAUGGUAACGAAUUGAACUUUUACCAGAAUAAAAUUAACAAAAAUUCUGCACCAAUGAAAAAUGGAACAAAACAGUCCUCAAAGUCAAGGUCAUUAACGAGGUUAACAUGUAAACGUGCUAUUCGUAAACUAGCUAGCAGAUUUGGUAGGUUAUUGUGUGUAAGGGACCCUUCUUAUUGUGGAGACGGAUGGCAGUAUGGAAAUAUAACUAAAACAUGGAUAUGGAUGGGUUGACAAACUUUAAACAAAAUUCUGAAAAAAAUCAAAUGUAAUGAAAAAGAAAAAAAAUAUUUAUCAUGCAUAAAUUGCAUUUUUUCAUGUAGCUAAAACAUCAAAAGAAAACGUUAAAAUGAAUAAAAAAAAUAUCAUUUAACAUUAUUUUAGUUAACACAAAAGGGGUGGGAAUAAUGAAAUAAAAAUAAAAUAUA